UACGAACUGUGCGAACGUUAUUCGGAAUUACUGGGCGUAAAGCGUGCGCAGGCGGUUCGUUGUGUCGGUGGUGAAAUCCCCGGGCUUAACCUGGGAAUGGCCAUGGAAACUGGCGAACUGGAGUGCGGCAGAGGGGGGUGGAAUUCCGCGUGUAGCAGUGAAAUGCGUAGAGAUGCGGAGGAACACCGAUGGCGAAGGCAGCCCCCUGGGCUAGCACUGACGCUCAGGCACGAAAGCGUGGGGAGCAAACAGG
rnacentral:rRNA from 1 species